UGUUAGGUGGUAGUAACUGUCUGCUAGGUGGUAGUAACUGUCUGUAACUGUCUGUUAGGUGGUAGUAACUGUCUGUUAGGUGGUAGUAACUGUCUUUUAGGUGGCAGUAACUGUCUGUUAGGUGGUGGUAACUGUCUGCUAGGUGGUAGUAACUGUCUGUUAGGUGGUAGUAACUGUCUGCUAGGUGGUAGUAACUGUCUGAUAGGUGGCAAUAACUGUCUGUUAGGUGGUAGUAACUGUCUGUUAGGUGGCAGUAACUGUCUGUUAGGUGGCAGUAACUGUCUGUUAGGUGGCAGUAACUGUCUGUUAGGUGGUAGUAACUGUCUGUUAGGUGGUAGUAACUAUCUAACUGUCUGUUAGGUGGCAGUAACUGUCUGUUAGGUGGCAGUAACUGUCUGUUAGGUGGUAGUAACUGUCUGUUAGGUGGUAGUAACUAUCUGCUAGGUGGUAGUAACUGUCUGUUAGGUGGUAGUAACUAUCUGCUAGGUGGUAGUAACUCUCUGUUAGGUGGUAGUAACUGUCUGUAACUGUCUGUUAGGUGGCAGUAACUAUCUGUUAGGUGGCAGUAACUGUCUGUUAGGUGGUAGUAACUGUCUGUUAGGUGGUAGUAACUGUCUGUUCGGUGGUGUUAACUGUCUGUUAGGUGGCAGUAACUGUCUGCUAGGUGGCAGUAACUGUCU
ensembl:lncRNA